rnacentral:rRNA from 1 species
UACGGGGGGAGCAAGCGUUGUUCGGAUUUACUGGGCGUAAAGGGCGCGUAGGCGGUCGUGACAAGUCACUUGUGAAAUCUCCGGGCUUAACUCGGAACGGUCAAGUGAUACUGUCGGACUAGAGUACAGAAGGGGCAACUGGAAUUCUCGGUGUAGCGGUGAAAUGCGUAGAUAUUGGGAGGAACACCAGUGGCGAAGGCGGCUCGCUGGACCGGAACUGACGCUGAGGCGCGAAAGCGUGGGGAGCAAACAGG